AAGAGACCGGAAGUGGGCUCAUUUUCCACCGGAAGGAGAGAGAAGUUACAUGCAGAAGCCAGACACCUGAUGCUGGCAGCGCUUGUCGCGUGAAGUUGGGCCAGUAUCUGGCCAUCUAUUGCGGCGGGCGACAGUGGUGUCCCAGGAGGCUGGCUGGAGUGGCAGGCGUCAGAGGAAUGGGAGUAGAAGAGAUGGGUAUGUGAGUCCCUGAAAGCAGAGAGCAGUUCUUUGCAUGCUGUGAGCAUUCACGGAUGAUGCAGCCACACCAUGCCUCUGACAUGCAUAAUUCAAGUGGAGCAGAUACAGGCCUGUGGUUCCAGUACCACCGCUUGAGGAUUCUGUAAACGAUUUAUCAGCAGGUUGCAGCUGAACAUGGACAUGAGGUAAACCCUGCCCCUGGUUAAAAUUUAGUUUAAUCAACUUCUGCAUGGAAUUGUAAGGACAUGGACUAUAUCACAGAAUCCAGCAGGUUCCCUCCCCCUUUCUUUAGAUUUAUCUUUUCUUCUUUAAGAAGAUAACAUGCUUAAACAAAGUUUCUUUAUGGUUAGCAACUGUGAUUCUUGAAGUUGGGCAACCCCUAGUUUAAAUAAAUUUUAAAUGUCAAAGAUCUAGAUAUCUUGUUAAAUUAAAAAAAAAGUAUUAAAAUCCUA